UGAACGCUGGCGGCAGGCCUAACACAUGCAAGUCGAGCGGUANCACAGAGAGCUUGCUCUCGGGUGACGAGCGGCGGACGGGUGAGUAAUGUCUGGGAAACUGCCUGAUGGAGGGGGAUAACUACUGGAAACGGUAGCUAAUACCGCAUAACGUCGCAAGACCAAAGUGGGGGACCUUCGGGCCUCAUGCCAUCAGAUGUGCCCAGAUGGGAUUAGCUAGUAGGUGGGGUAAUGGCUCACCUAGGCGACGAUCCCUAGCUGGUCUGAGAGGAUGACCAGCCACACUGGAACUGAGACACGGUCCAGACUCCUACGGGAGGCAGCAGUGGGGAAUAUUGCACAAUGGGCGCAAGCCUGAUGCAGCCAUGCCGCGUGUAUGAAGAAGGCCUUCGGGUUGUAAAGUACUUUCAGCGAGGAGGAAGGCGUUAAGGUUAAUAACCUUAGCGAUUGACGUUACUCGCAGAAGAAGCACCGGCUAACUCCGUGCCAGCAGCCGCGGUAAUACGGAGGGUGCAAGCGUUAAUCGGAAUUACUGGGCGUAAAGCGCACGCAGGCGGUCUGUCAAGUCGGAUGUGAAAUCCCCGGGCUCAACCUGGGAACUGCAUUCGAAACUGGCAGGCUAGAGUCUUGUAGAGGGGGGUAGAAUUCCAGGUGUAGCGGUGAAAUGCGUAGAGAUCUGGAGGAAUACCGGUGGCGAAGGCGGCCCCCUGGACAAAGACUGACGCUCAGGUGCGAAAGCGUGGGGAGCAAACAGGAUUAGAUACCCUGGUAGUCCACGCCGUAAACGAUGUCGACUUGGAGGUUGUGCCCUUGAGGCGUGGCUUCCGGAGCUAACGCGUUAAGUCGACCGCCUGGGGAGUACGGCCGCAAGGUUAAAACUCAAAUGAAUUGACGGGGGCCCGCACAAGCGGUGGAGCAUGUGGUUUAAUUCGAUGCAACGCGAAGAACCUUACCUACUCUUGACAUCCAGAGAACUUAGCAGAGAUGCUUUGGUGCCUUCGGGAACUCUGAGACAGGUGCUGCAUGGCUGUCGUCAGCUCGUGUUGUGAAAUGUUGGGUUAAGUCCCGCAACGAGCGCAACCCUUAUCCUUUGUUGCCAGCGGUUAGGCCGGGAACUCAAAGGAGACUGCCAGUGAUAAACUGGAGGAAGGUGGGGAUGACGUCAAGUCAUCAUGGCCCUUACGAGUAGGGCUACACACGUGCUACAAUGGCAUAUACAAAGAGAAGCGACCUCGCGAGAGCAAGCGGACCUCAUAAAGUAUGUCGUAGUCCGGAUUGGAGUCUGCAACUCGACUCCAUGAAGUCGGAAUCGCUAGUAAUCGUAGAUCAGAAUGCUACGGUGAAUACGUUCCCGGGCCUUGUACACACCGCCCGUCACACCAUGGGAGUGGGUUGCAAAAGAAGUAGGUAGCUUAACCUUCGGGAGGGCGCUUACCACUUUGUGAUUCAUGACUGGGGUGAAGUCGUAACAAGGUAACCGUAGGGGAACCUGCGGCUGGAUCACCUCCUUG
rnacentral:rRNA from 1 species